rnacentral:rRNA from 1 species
AACGAACGCUGGCGGCAGGCUUAACACAUGCAAGUCGAACGCCCCGCAAGGGGAGUGGCAGACGGGUGAGUAACGCGUGGGAACAUACCCUUUUCUACGGAAUAGCUCUGGGAAACUGGAAUUAAUACCGUAUACGCCCUACGGGGGAAAGAUUUAUCGGGGAAGGAUUGGCCCGCGUUGGAUUAGCUAGUUGGUGGGGUAAAGGCCUACCAAGGCGACGAUCCAUAGCUGGUCUGAGAGGAUGAUCAGCCACAUUGGGACUGAGACACGGCCCAAACUCCUACGGGAGGCAGCAGCGGGGAAUAUUGGACAAUGGGCGCAAGCCUGAUCCAGCCAUGCCGCGUGAGUGAUGAAGGCCUUAGGGUUGUAAAGCUCUUUCACCGAUGAAGAUAAUGACGGUAGUCGGAGAAGAAGCCCCGGCUAACUUCGUG